GUGUCUAUAGUUUAAUGGUAGAACAUCAAUUUUCCAAAUUGAUGGCACGAGUCCGAUUCUCGUUAGACACUCCA
rnacentral:tRNA from 1 species